rnacentral:rRNA from 1 species
UACGUAGGGGGCAAGCGUUGUCCGGAUUUAUUGGGCGUAAAGAGCGUGUAGGCGGCCAUGUAGGUCCGUUGUGAAAACUCGAGGCUCAACCUCGAGACGCCGAUGGAAACCAUGUGGCUAGAGUCCGGAAGAGGAGAGUGGAAUUCCUGGUGUAGCGGUGAAAUGCGCAGAUAUCAGGAAGAACACCCGUGGCUAAGGCCGCUCUCUAGUACGGUACUGACGCUGAGACGCGAAAGCGUGGGGAGCGAACAGG